UAACAUACCCUGCGCUGCGGCGCACUCGCUGCGGGCGCGGGUACGGGGUACGGGGUAUUCGCGGCGAGGGCGGGGGGCGGGGCGGGGCCCUCCCUCCUCCUCCCUCCUCCUCCCUCCUCCUUCCCCCCCUUCCCGCCCCUCUCUCCUCCCCUUGCCCUCGUCCUCCUCCCCGCCCCUCCCUCCUCCCCCUCCUCCGCCUCCUCCCUGUCCCUCUUCCACCCCGCUCUCCCCGCCCUCCCCCUCUCCCCGUCGGGGGCGGGGCCGCUGCUCCCGCGCGCUCCGGCCCCUCCUCGGCCACACAAAGGCCCGUCUCCAUGGCAGCCGCGCGGGCCGGAGCGCAGCGCCGAUCGCGGCCCGGGCGCCAUCGAGCCUCGGCGGCGGACGUGCAGAGAAUCUUGAUGCUGGCCCAGAGCAGACACUGAGCUGGACUACGGGAGCCUCGGUGAGUGGGGGCUGGGCCCCACCUGGGGAAGGCAAUGGGGUUAGACGCGCUUUCUACUGACCACGGGGCGGGGUGGGGGGUGGGUGACCUUGAGGCCCCGGUCUGGCUGAGCCCAGUGUGCACACAUCAGCGCAGACCCAAGUGUCCUGCCCGUGGGGGCCACUGCCAGCACACAUACCCCCCGCCCCCCGCCCCAGUUCUCUGAGAUCAAGCUUUCCUUGGGAGGGUGGGCUCUUCAGUGAGACUGGCAGGGGGCUGGGUUCUGAACACUAAGGCUGGGAAUUUGGGCUUGGGGGAGGAGUGCCCGUCCAGACAUUUUCUGGGCCAGCAACAGGCCGGAGUUUGUGCAACUUUUUGGAAGUGCACCUCUGGACCCUAGCCAGGAAGGAGGCCGUCUGAUGCCCUUGAGGAAAUCCCCGGCAGCCCCGGUGAGCCAGGGGUCCUGGGGCUCUCUGCAAAACAGGAAGCGCCCGUUCCAGGAACACUAGCCACAGGAAGCUUUGCUGGCUGUGCCUGGCGCCUCCUCAACAGUGGCCUGAGCUCCCUGGUCAGGUGGGUCACCCUUUGCUCCGGGACCUGGCCUGGCAGGUCACCUGAGGCUUUGUUUGGCCGGGAAGUGGAGGGGAGCUGCGGCCUCUGGAGUGUGACCCAAGUCCCUCCUACCACCCCAGGUGACCUGGGCUUGGUAUGGGUGGGGGGUAAGUUUGCAGCCCUGGGAUUUAAGCCUCACUUUGCCCACCACCCAGAGGGGUCCUGGGGCAGGGAGCCUGGGUCUGGCCCAGCUCUCCUUGGUGACUCACAGUGCUACUGAGCAGGUACGGUGUCCCAGACCUGGCAGGGCCCUGGGGCAGAGGGCAGGGCUGGGCUCCUGCCCUAAUGGACUAGUCAAAUGGAUGUGAACCGGAGAGAGACCGGAGCAUUCUUUUUGUGCACUGUGACCCCUCUGCCUCUUGGGUCCCCCCAAGGCUGUGAGUUAGCAGGGCUGAGGGAGGGGCUGGGGUUUUGAGUCAAGCUUUUUUACAACAGGGGUGCCCCAGAGCUCCCCCACUUGGUCAGCUAA
rnacentral:lncRNA from 1 species